rnacentral:tRNA from 1 species
GCGGAUAUACUCUAACUGGUAAGAGACUAUCUUGGAAAGGUAGCGUAGCUUAACGGCGAUAGAGGUUCGAGUCCUCUUAUCCGCGCCA